rnacentral:misc_RNA from 1 species
AACGCACAUUGCGCCUCUUGUAACAGGGAGGCAUGCCUGUCUGAGUCUCAUUUAAUCUCUAAACCCGUCUGGGUUUGUGUCUGGGCGCUCGUCUCCUUGGCGUCGCCUCAAAGUCAUCUGUCUUAUGAGCGGAUGAGAUCCAUUUGGACUGACCGUUUGUGGGACCCAAAACCUCUGAUUUUGAGCUCAGAUCAGGCAGGACUACCGCCUGAACUUAA